rnacentral:lncRNA from 1 species
GAAAGGGGGUCUCAUUUUUAGGAAGUUUAUUUAUCUAUAUAUGCUUGCAGAUAACUUUUACUGGUAAAUUUUCAUAAUUGAUGGCAUAAUGUUGUUACAUUAUGAAUUUCAGUGACAUGGUUUUGUUAAGUCAAUUAUUUAAUAGGCUUAGGAAACAGGAAGAUGAAUCUUAAUGCUGCCGUCUCCUACUCUGACUAGGAGUUAGCUUGACUGAAGUUUUUUCCUUGUUGCGUGUAGUUUAAGGGUACAGUAGAUAACUGGUCAUUUUGUAUUUCAAUCUUUGUUGGUAAACUUUGGACGCGAGAUGAUCGGUCUUUUGCUGUUAGAUGUUAUUCUAGUAAAAUUGAGAAGCCUUAAAGUUAGCACUUGGUUCUUCAUUUGCUUCAUCGUGAUAACACCUUCUGGAAAAGGAUAAAUGUGAUGUCAUCUACAAAUUCUACAAUAUCAGGCUGGUAUUAUAGUGCUUGUAAUAUAACACUGAAGGUUUAUUAUUCUCAAGCAAUAUUAUUUUUUAUGAGUCGAGUGAUUUAAAAAAUCAUUGCAGAGGCCUUCUUUAUUUCCUAUGAAAAAUCAUUAUUUGUUAGCUUGGUGAAUAAUUGUAUUUCAUAAAUGAAACCUUUCUUUUUCCUACUUUAAUUAUAAUGCUUAAACUUGAAAGGAGGACAUCUUUCACCUUUUGAUUACUAGGAGUUCCUCUUUUCUUUUUAUUCCUUUCUCUUGCUCCUUUUUUUACUGAUCUGUACUCCAGCAAUUUUUGACUGAAAUUAUUAUUCUGAGAAAAGAAAAGAAAAUAUACAUUUUUUUCAUGACCACAGCCUGUUGGAUUAUCCAUACAAGAUAAUUUUUCCAUAAAUCAGUCUACCUUUUCUAGCCACCAUUACUGUGGGGGGGAAUAACAAUUUUUAGUCAUGAAUGAAAAGAAUUUUAUUCUUUGAUUAAUAACUUCAUCUCUUUUCAUGUCAAAUCGACAUGUUCUGGUGCAGUUGUGGACCCUUGAAAUGACAAAAAUGAUCUUGCCACAAUUAAUGUUUCUGUCAUCCAAAAUGGGGCUUUUGUGCCUCUUAGACAUGCAGACAGAUCAUAAAGUUGCUUCUCAAGUAUGGACAUGAUAAUCUGCCUUCCUGAUUUGUCUUCCCAGAUUCCAUUUCCGGUCCACAUAAGACUGCAUUAUUGAUGCCAAGCUCUCAAAUAAUGUAGAGGAAAACAGCUUAAACUCAUGAAUAUUGUUGUGGUUUUAAAUCUCUCAAGUCUUGUGGAUCCAUAUUUCUUUUGAUAACCUUCCAAGAAAACCUGUAGAUGUUCAUGUGGAACCACACUGAAUUCAUCCCAAAUGCAAUUUUAAUUAGUGCCUCAAAUUUAUAUGCAAAUCAAUGAAUAUGAGAAGCAGCAAAAGCAUGAAAUAGAGAUGGUUUCUCCAUAGACAACAAUACAAUGUAACCAUAACCGGCCAGUUUAUCUCCACAGUUCAAGAUAUGCUUUGCGAGCUCUUCCUUUUUAGUCAUCUUUACCAAGUUUUACCAAGUUUACAGUUAUGGCCAUGUUUCCCUUGGUUUUCUCUACCUCUUGGGUUAAGGGUAGCCUCUGGAUAGUUAGUGUGCAUGCUGGUUCAAUCAUUCAACAAAAACAUGACAAAUAAAGGAAAGAAGUGAAAGAGGAAUCUUGAGGACCAAAAAUAUAUGAUAAAUCAUCUCCCAGGUGACUUUAGAGUUAAAUUCAUUGAUCAUGAUCUGCACGUCCUAAACUAUGUGAGGACCAAAAUUCAUCAAAUUUGAGUACUUUUAAAUUUCAGAUCAACUCAAAGCAUUGCAUCUUUAAGUUACAACCGUCCGUCUAUUUGUUUGAUACAUAGGUGUUACAUGCCCUGGACAUUUUGCUUUUGGUUUUUAGGCAUUAUAAGUGCUGCAAAUUGUUUACUGAUAGUUUGGAGUAUCGAUUUGGAUGGUGCAUCAUUUGAUUUGCACUGAGCUGAAUCUGUGUGUGUGUGUGUGUGUGUGUUUGCGCACGCGCGCACACGUGCGUGCGUGUGCUCGCACGAGUGAUAUGGUGUAACAAUGCUAAGGCUCUUAAAAACAUAUCUCGUGUGCUCGCACGAGUGAUAUGGUGUGCUCA